AAUAGAUACCCUCGGUAGUCCAUGCCGUAAACGUUGGGCACUAGGUGUGGGGCUCAUUCCACGAGUUCCGUGCCGCAGCAAACGCAUUAAGUGCCCCGCCUGGGGAGUACGGCCGCAAGGCUAAAACUCAAAGGAAUUGACGGGGGCCCGCACAAGCGGCGGAGCAUGCGGAUUAAUUCGAUGCAACGCGAAGAACCUUACCAAGGCUUGACAUGCACGGGAAGCCACCAGAGAUGGUGGUCUCUUUGGACACUCGUGCACAGGUGGUGCAUGGUUGUCGUCAGCUCGUGUCGUGAGAUGUUGGGUUAAGUCCCGCAACGAGCGCAACCCUGUCCCAUGUUGCCAGCGGGUUAUGCCGGGGACUCAUGGGAGACUGCCGGGGUCAACUCGGAGGAAGGUGGGGAUGACGUCAAAUCAUCAUGCCCCUUAUGUCUUGGGCUUCACGCAUGCUACAAUGGCCGGUACAAAGGGCUGCGAUACCGUAAGGUGGAGCGAAUCCCAAAAAGCCGGUCUCAGUUCGGAUUGGGG
rnacentral:rRNA from 1 species